AGCGAACGCUGGCGGCAGGCCUAACACAUGCAAGUCGAACGAACUCUUCGGAGUUAGUGGCGGACGGGUGAGUAACACGUGGGAACGUGCCUUUAGGUUCGGAAUAACUCAGGGAAACUUGUGCUAAUACCGAAUGUGCCCUUCGGGGGCAAGAUUUAUCGCCUUUAGAGCGGCCCGCGUCUGAUUAGCUAGUUGGUGAGGUAAAGGCUCACCAAGGCGACGAUCAGUAGCUGGUCUGAGAGGAUGAGCAGCCACAUUGGGACUGAGACACGGCCCAAACUCCUACGGGAGGCAGCAGUGGGGAAUCUUGCGCAAUGGGCGAAAGCCUGACGCAGCCAUGCCGCGUGAAUGAUGAAGGUCUUAGGAUUGUAAAAUUCUUUCACCGGGGACGAUAAUGACGGUACCCGGAGAAGAAGCCCCGGCUAACUUCGUGCCAGCCGCCGCAGUAACAC
rnacentral:rRNA from 1 species